CGCGGCGCAUUAGCUAGUUGGUGAGGUAACGGCUCACCAAGGCCACGAUGCGUAGCCGACCUGAGAGGGUGAUCGGCCACACUGGGACUGAGACACGGCCCAGACUCCUACGGGAGGCAGCAGUAGGGAAUCUUCCGCAAUGGACGAAAGUCUGACGGAGCAACGCCGCGUGAGUGAUGAAGGUUUUCGGAUCGUAAAACUCUGUUGUUAGGGAAGAACAAGUAUCGGAGUAACUGCCGGUACCUUGACGGUACCUAACCAGAAAGCCACGGCUAACUACGUGCCAGCAGCCGCGGUAAUACGUAGGUGGCAAGCGUUGUCCGGAAUUAUUGGGCGUAAAGCGCGCGCAGGUGGUUCCUUAAGUCUGAUGUGAAAGCCCACGGCUCAACCGUGGAGGGUCAUUGGAAACUGGGGAACUUGAGUGCAGAAGAGGAAAGUGGAAUUCCAAGUGUAGCGGUGAAAUGCGUAGAGAUUUGGAGGAACACCAGUGGCGAAGGCGACUUUCUGGUCUGUAACUGACACUGAGGCGCGAAAGCGUGGGGAGCGAACAGGAUUAGAUACCCUGGUAGUCCACGCCGUAAACGAUGAGUGCUAAGUGUUAGAGGG
rnacentral:rRNA from 2 species